rnacentral:rRNA from 1 species
GACGAACGCUGGCGGCGUGCCUAAUACAUGCAAGUCGAACGCACUCUCGUUUAGAUUGAAGGAGCUUGCUCCUGAUUGAUAAACAUUUGAGUGAGUGGCGGACGGGUGAGUAACACGUGGGUAACCUGCCCUAAAGUGGGGGAUAACAUUUGGAAACAGAUGCUAAUACCGCAUAAAACCUAAACACCGCAUGGUGUAGGGUUGAAAGAUGGUUUCGGCUAUCACUUUAGGAUGGACCCGCGGUGCCAUUAGUUAGUUGGUGAGGUAAAGGCUCACCAAGACCGUGAUGCAUAGCCGACCUGAGAGGGUAAUCGGCCACACUGGGACUGAGACACGGCCCAGACUCCUACGGGAGGCAGCAGUAGGGAAUCUUUCCCAACAAUGGACGAAAGUCUGAUGGAGCAACGCCGCGUGAGUCGAAGAAGGUUUUCGGAUCGUAAAACUCU